rnacentral:lncRNA from 1 species
UCUUUGAUCGCUCCCCCUCUACAAGCUUGUGUAACUGUGCACUGUGGCUUUUGAUUUUGUAUAUAGCUUGUAAUGUCCCAUGCGUGUUUUUUUGUUCUCUUAUCUUUUGAACAGCUCUCUAUACCAGAAGAUGUGUCUACCGAGGAUGUAAUUCUUGAUGGUGGAUGUAAAAAGAGUCCGGUAGACAGCUCAGCUGCAGUAGAAGUGAAAGUGCCUUGCACAAAAAUAGGACGUGAAGUUGAUUUGUCACAUUCUGAUAGGAGUCUAUCAGAUGAACCUACUACGUCUAGCUUGCAGGAGGAAGUUGAAGCGUUUAAUAGUCAGCAUGAACAGGGUCGAUGCAGCAGCUCGGUGAACCCAACAACUUGCAAAGAU